rnacentral:rRNA from 1 species
CCUACGGGGGACUGCAGUGAGGAAUAUUGGUCAAUGGCCGAGAGGCUGAACCAGCCAAGUCGCGUGAGGGAAGACGGCCCUACGGGUUGUAAACCUCUUUUGUCGGGGAGCAAAGCGAACCACGUGUGGUUCAUUGAGAGUACCCGAAGAAAAAGCAUCGGCUAACUCCGUGCCAGCAGCCGCGGUAAUACGGAGGAUGCGAGCGUUAUCCGGAUUUAUUGGGGUUAAAGGGUGCGCAGGCGGAGGUGCAAGUCAGCGGUCAAAUUGCGGGGCUCAACCCCGUACUGCCGUUGAAACUGCAUCCCUUGAGUGCGCGAGAAGUAUGCGGAAUGCGUGGUGUAGCGGUGAAAUGCAUAGAUAUCACGCAGAACUCCGAUUGCGAAGGCAGCAUACCGGCGGCGAUCUGACGCUGAGGCACGAAAGCGUGGGUAUCGAACAGGAUUAGAUACCCCAGUAGUC